rnacentral:rRNA from 1 species
UACAGAGGUCUCAAGCGUUGUUCGGAUUCAUUGGGCGUAAAGGGCGCGUAGGCGGCGGGGUAAGUCUGGUGUGAAAUCUAGGAGCUCAACUCCUAAACUGCACUGGAUACUGCUCUGCUAGAGGACUGGAGAGGAGACUGGAAUUCACGGUGUAGCAGUGAAAUGCGUAGAUAUCAGGAGGAACACCGGUGGUGUAGACGGCUUACUGGACCACGACUGACACUGAGGCACGAAAGCGUGGGUAGCAAACAGG